rnacentral:rRNA from 1 species
AUGGUCGUGGAGCCGGCUCGCCCUCGUCUUCGAUCUGGAUCGGGUGGGGGAGGUGCCUGGCGGGCGGUGCGGGCUGGAGCUGGCGCGGACGCCGGGGGACGGCCCCGGUGCGGUGGUGCGGAGCGGCGCGCUCAGCCAUGGCAGCCCGCUGUGGAGGCGGGCGACAGUGGCGUGGCGGCGCAAGAUGUGGGCGCGUGCGAUGGCGUGCACGGCGGAUCUGGCCUGGCGGAGCUUGUGGGCUAUGCUGCUCCUUCGGCGGCGGCUUUGAGUGGUGCCAUGGGCCGGCUUCGUCAGAGGGGAUUGGAGGAUGCUGGGGUGGCGGCCCCGGGCCUGACGCCGCCUGGUCUUGCUGGCGGUCUGGUCGUCGUGCGUGGAUCUUGUUCCUACUUCGAGGAUCCACGCCGAGUGGUGGUGGUUCUGCCGAUGAAGCGGGAGGUGCUGCGGCUGGCAGGUCACUGA